rnacentral:rRNA from 1 species
GACGAACGCUGGCGGCGUGCCUAAUACAUGCAAGUUGAGCGAUGAAGCUUGGUGCUUGCACCGAUUUGAAGAGCAGCGAACGGGUGAGUAACGCGUGGGGAAUCUGCCUUUGAGCGGGGGACAACAUUUGGAAACGAAUGCUAAUACCGCAUAACAACUUUAAACAUAAGUUUUAAGUUUGAAAGAUGCAAUUGCAUCACUCAAAGAUGAUCCCGCGUUGUAUUAGCUAGUUGGUGAGGUAAAGGCUCACCAAGGCGAUGAUACAUAGCCGACCUGAGAGGGUGGUCGGCCACAUUGGGACUGAGACACGGCCCAAACUCCUACGGGAGGCAGCAGUAGGGAAUCUUCGGCAAUGGACGAAAGUCUGACCGAGCAACGCCGCGUGAGUGAAGAAGGUUUUCGGAUCGUAAAACUCUGUUGGUAGAGAAGAACGUUGGUGAGAGUGGAAAGCUCAUCAAGUGACGGUAACUACCCAGAGAGGGACGGCUAACUACGUG